rnacentral:rRNA from 1 species
CAAGUCGAACGAUUAAGACUUCCUUCGGGAAGUGUAUAAAGUGGCGCACGGGUGAGUAACACGUAAGUAAUCUACCCUCGAGUGGGGAAUAACGUUCGGAAACGGACGCUAAUACCGCAUAACGCAGCGGCACCGCAAGGUGACAGUUGUUAAAGGAGUAAUUCGCUUGAGGAGGAGCUUGCGGCAGAUUAGCUAGUUGGUAAGGUAACGGCUUACCAAGGCUACGAUCUGUAUCCGGCCUGAGAGGGCGGUCGGACACACUGACACUGAAUAACGGGUCAGACUCCUACGGGAGGCAGCAGUCGGGAAUUUUGGGCAAUGGGCGAAAGCCUGACCCAGCAACGCCGCGUGAAGGAUGAAGUAUUUCGGUAUGUAAACUUCGAAAGAAUGGGAAGAAUAAAUGACGGUACCAUUUAUAAGCUCCGGCUAACUACGUGCCAGCAGCCGCGGUAAUACGUAGGGAGCAAGCGUUGUUCGGAUUUACUGGGCGUAAAGGGCGCGUAGGCGGCGCGGUAAGUCACUUGUGAAAUCUCUGAGCUUAACUCAGAACGGCCAAGUGAUACUGCAGUGCUAGAGUGUAGAAGGGGCAAUCGGAAUUCUUGGUGUAGCGGUGAAAUGCGUAGAUAUCAAGAGGAACACCUGAGGUGAAGACGGGUUGCUGGUCUAACACUGACGCUGAUGCGCGAAAGCCAGGGGAGCAAACGGGAUUAGAUACCCCGGUAGUCCUGGCCCUAAACGAUGAAUACUUGGUGUCCGGGGUUUCAAGACCCUGGGUGCCGUCGCUAACGUUUUAAGUAUUCCGCCUGGGGAGUACGCUCGCAAGAGUGAAACUCAAAGGAAUUGACGGGGACCCGCACAAGCGGUGGAGCAUGUGGUUUUAAUUCGACGCAACGCGAAGAA